GAGCUUUAAUUAACUAACUCAUAACUAAAUACAGUAAUUCUUUUACAGAAACAAUAAUAUGUUAUUGAGUUAACAAUUUAGGUUGGGGUGACCUCGGAAAAAAAGACAACUCCCGAGAUAUUUAUAUUAAGACCUACAAGUCAAAAUUAUUUGUUAAUAUUAUUGACCCAUAUGUAAUGAUCAACGAAACAAGUUACCCUAGGGAUAACAGCGCAAUCCUAUUUAAGAGUCCAUAUCGAAAAUUAGGGUUUAC
rnacentral:rRNA from 1 species